rnacentral:rRNA from 1 species
UACGAAGGGGGCUAGCGUUGCUCGGAAUCACUGGGCGUAAAGGGUGCGUAGGCGGGGCUUUAAGUCAGGGGUGAAAUCCUGGAGCUCAACUCCAGAACUGCCUUUGAUACUGAGGAUCUUGAGUUCGGGAGAGGUGAGUGGAAUUGCGAGUGUAGAGGUGAAAUUCGUAGAUAUUCGCAAGAACACCAGUGGCGAAGGCGGCUCACUGGCCCGAUACUGACGCUGAGGCACGAAAGCGUGGGGAGCAAACAGG